AAAUAAAUUCACGUACAAUUCAACGGCGAUCCUUUGAAGCAGGUGUAUUUAAAUCGCAAUAUUUAUUUUUAGAAUUAAAUGUUUCAUCAGAUAUUGAAAAGUACAAGUCAAAAAAAGCGUUUUGAAUGAACCAGGAUAUCACGGCAAUAAACAUUGGUUAAUGUAUCUUGAAAACUCCAUAAUUUUUGUAACGCGCCAUUUCAAUUAUAUUUAAUUUUGUUUACAUGUCACAAAAAUUACCUGUGUGACCAAUUCACUUGAAUCUGUGCACAUGAUAUUUUGUAUGACUGUUUAAAAUAAUAAGAUUUCAAAAUUUCAUUGCCGAUGGAAGCUUUUGAUGGGCAUAACCGUCACCAAAGAGUAUAAGACAAACAUACAUAUAUCAUUUAAAAAAAUGUUUCAAUUUUAUGUUGACUUUGGAUGUUCAUUCCUUUUUUACAUCAUAGAACUAUUAUAUCUGCGCAGAAACUAUAGCCUUUCAGAUAACCAAACUGUUAAAGAUACGAAAAAUGAUCGUAUUCAAAAAAUUUGGAAGGAAAGGAUUUUUAUCAUUCGAUUAGCAAUUGGAUUGUUGUGUAAUGCAGCAAUCAUUAUAAGUAUAUGUGUACUGAAAAAAGAUGUUUGCAUUGCAGGGAAUGUUGCAAAGGGAUUAUUCAUAACUAUUGUAAUAUUUACUGUACUUUCGUUCCUAAUUAUGGAAUAUAUUGCGUGUGGAAUAAAUCCCAAUGAUGAAUGUACACUAACAAUGUUGAUAGGACAUAGAAUAUACGAAAUACAAUAUGACAUUGUGUUGUGUGUCUACUGUCUUCUGUUAUCAAACUGGGUAAUGACAAAACUUGUAAUCGUUAUAUAUGUACUUUCAACAAUUGAUAUAGCAAUUAGUGCCAUUUCACUAAUAAAGAAUGUUUGUGACUUGAAAAAAAAAUGAAACAAAUGUAUUGACAGUUUUAUUUCCUAUUUGUGUCUUUAUAUUUAUUCCUUUUCCAGUUGUGUUUAUCUUAUGUAUGUUAAGUAGUAUGUUAAGUAGUGGUGGAUCAACAAGUAGUUCUUCACAUGGAGGAACAUUUGACCAAGUUAUAUAGCAAUAUUAUCUUUUACGAAAUAUUUAUAGAAUAACUAAUCGAAGAAUUCAAACAGAGAAAAAUAUUCGACGAGUGACCGAACAACACAUUAAUUCACGAAUGCGCGUAGCUCAUGAGUUAAUUAUCAGUGUUGUUCGGUCACGUUGAAUAUUUUUCAGUAUUUAUUUUAUAACUAGUCAUUGUUUUUAUUACAUUGGAAAAUGGCUUUUUUUUUUUUAAAGAAAUUAAUGUAAAAGACGUAAGGAACUAUAUAUUUU
rnacentral:lncRNA from 1 species